GACGAACGCUGGCGGCGGGCUUAACACAUGCAAGUCGAACGGAAAGGCCCUGCUUUUGUGGGGUUCUCGAUUGGCGAACGCGUGAGGAACACGUAAGUAACCGGCCCUUGACUUUGGUAUAACUUCAGGAAACGAGAGCUAAGACCAUAUAGGAUCUCCUGCUGCAGUGUGGGCGUGGGAAAUUUGCGGCUUGUGGGGAUGGACUCGCGGCUUAUCAACUUGUUUGUUGGGGAGUGGAUUACCAAGGAUUUGACGGGUAGCCGGCCUGGGAGCGUGACCGGCCACCUUGGGACUGAGAUAGGGCACAGACUCGUAUGGGGGGCAGCAGGGGGGAAUAUUGCACAAUGGGAGGACGUCUGAUGAAGAAACGCCGCGUGUGGGAAGACGGUUUUCGGGUUGUAAAAAGCUUUAGCCUGUGACGAAGCGUGAGUGACGGUAAUGGGUAAAGAAGCACCGGCUAACUACGUG
rnacentral:rRNA from 1 species